UUCCUUUUCUUUUUCUAUUUGUUUUUUUCUUUUUCCAGCAGCAUUUUGCCUUUUCUUUUAGCCACAAAUGACCUUGGAAAAUUAUGCCAAUGGCUAAAACAAUUCCAAAGAAUUAUUGUGCACUUCCACAAAAAGUUUGGGGCCAUGAGGAGUUGUCCAAGCAUUUUUAGAAAAUGAAAAGGACAUCUUAAAUACUGCUGGACCAGAUAAUAAAUUCCCAGGGACAAUUUGGGAAUUCCAAGAAAUGUUGGCUUCAACAUGGCAAAUAUCUAGGGAUUAUUUGCCAUAGGAUGAACUAUUUUAUUUGCAUGAAAGAAGAAGAAAAUAUUUGACAUGCAAUUUGAAUUUGAAGCAGAUUUUGGACAAGUGGCAUUUUGGCAUGAUGAUCAUGAUGACAUGACCUUCAUUAGGGGGAGAUUACUGUAGUGUGAUGCUGGGGAUGUUACAAAUCUCCUCCACUACAAGAAAUCUCGUCCCGAGAUUUUAGUGGGGAAGUAAAGAGUAACUUCGGGUGAACUGACCCUUAUAGGGUGAAUUGUCUGGUGAACAAUGCAGGGGAUGUGAGAAAAGUAUCUCUCGAGUUGAAAUUUAAGAAAACGUCGAGAGCAAAAUAUGAAGGUACAAUAAGAAGUUUCAAGCGAAUGGACAGACGAUCGAUACCUGAACAGAGUGUGGGAAUGGUUCAGAGCAUCGGGAAUAGAUCAUCUCUCGGAGGGUGGCUCGUGAUAACACACAAAGCCAAGAGCAUAAGAUACUUCGGCACCAAGGUUGUACAGGAGAGUCAGGCUUUGAUCUUGUGGAACUGUGGGUUAUGGGCCCACCAUGUGGGUUAAAAGUAGGAAGGGCGGAGACGUCUUGCGUGAUCAUGCAAGCAAGGCAUGUCAGAGGGUAGCCUGUCGAUUAUGUCGGCAACAACGUCGAUACCAAGGGCGAGGGACGAAGAGAACCAUUUUCCUGCUCGUUGAAGGAGGUGGACCAAUAGGCAAAGUUCUCGUCCAUCGGUGGCUACCGGAAUGUCAUCAACAGUAGAAACAAGGUCUCAUUGACAGAGUUGUACACCAAGGUGUUUACAUAAGCAGUGAAUUAUUACUGCUUAGAUCAUACAAUUCACAAGAAAGGUUAAACAAAACAAUGGAAAGGAAAAGGUGAUCAUCAGAUUAAAAAGAACAAUGGAAAGGAAAAUGUGUUUAAACACAUAUUUCAGGGAUAUAUCCUUCCCAAUGACAAGCAGAGCAUGCUAUCCGUGGAAGGGUAUAAUGUAGAAAACCCUUUAGAUAGGGGAGAGACUUUUCAUGACAUUACCCAUACAGCGGUGUUUGGAUAAUUGAGCAGGAAACAUUUAGCAUCGGACUUCAAAUGUUCCUGUUGAAAAUCGGAGUACCAUAGUCGUGCAUCGAGAUAGCCUUGACAUGGUUAUCAGGUGAAGAUCAGACUUUAGAAACACAAAGGAUCCAUCAGGAACCGUUUGUAGAAUAAGUCUUACAAUUUCCUCAUGGAAGAAAGGAUAGCCUUGCUAAAAAGGAAAUGGUAACAAUAGGUCCUCCGGCCAGGUGUGUUAGGCACGAUAUCACCUUACCGGGUCAUAUACAGACCAUUGUUAUUACUCUUGGAAAUAUGUUCCCACCAUCAUAUCUGAUUGAGGUUCAGAUCUAAUUGGUGUCGGGAUACCUCAGACUCGGGAUGCCUGAGAAUAAAAGGCGCAACACCAUUGCGAGAUGACAUUGUAAGAUUCUCGGGAAACGAACUAUGGAAGCAAGUUCUGAGACAAGGGUUCAUCAUUAAAUCAAGGAGAGGUGAGGAGGUGACUGAUUGACUCAGCGACAAUCCAUUGAGAUUUCCAAAAGAUGGAUUUCCACAACUAUGUGAACAAGGAGAUAACAGUAGCUAGAUCGAAUGACUUAAUGAUGUAUGCUCGAGGAAAACAUACACAGUUAAACAUUGAUUGAAAUGUGCACCCGAAAUAUGGGCUAGGUAGCACGAUCAAUGUUCGAAUGAUGAUACAAUAAGCCAUAGACGUAGAAUGAAACUAUAGACCAAUAACUUCAAAGCAAUAGGGUUGCUAGGAGUUUAGAAUUUACACAUCACAGACCAUUUGUCGGUAUUUCAUUUAGAAACAACACGGGGACCAAGAAAGAAUGGUGAUGGUGAGAAGUAUCACUGUACCAAGAAUUCUUAAGAGGUGGAGUAAUGCUCAUGACAUUCUUGAUAUCAAAGAUGGUCAUACUCCACGGUAGAACAUAACAUAAGUUGGAUAGCAGGGAAAACAAGAUACAACACAAAAUAUGAACAAGUUUGUGUUGGGGGGAGGCAAGAAUGUUGUCGAUGAUAACACAAUUCAUCGAGGGGCAAGGAUGGUAUUUCUCAUCCUGAAUUUCAACACACAACUUGGAAGAAGUCAAACUAUCAUGACAAAUUUGUUGAGAGGUUUUCAAGAAGAUGUAAUUGAUCGACGAUGACAUCAAGUCAAAGGAAUGAUGAAAGCGAAAGGUUAUUGGAACCACAGGUAGGACACAAACUCGAAAUCAAGUUUGCUGUUCAAGGAGAAGUGAUAUGACGAGGAAGAUCGACGCAAGAUUAGCUCACUAUCGAAAUUUGUGCGCUGGGAAGGACCAGGUAGCACAGUUAAAAUCGGCACGAUAAUGACAUAGCCGAGCAGGCUAGGGAUGACGUGAUCGAGUAUGAACUCGUAAGCAAAGGAGAUUACUAAGAGUUGUUUAAUCGUGAUGCGGACUUGAUUCAGUUAUCGAUGUCUUUGAGUGUUUAAUAACUCGGAGCCUGUGAAAAUUGGAAUCAAUGAGAAUGUAAUACUUGAUGGAGAACUCAUAAGAAGUUAUGCAGUUCCGUGAUAAUCUCGAGAUACCAGGGGGUAAUACUCGACGACAAAACAAAGUAGAGGUUGGACUGGGGUAUUGCUCUAUAGAAGACAAGUGCUUAAACUUGUACGAGAAAUGGUAUUUAAAGGAGAACAUGGUCGAAACCAUGAUUGCAAAAGGCCAGAUCCCAGAUAUAAAUGAACUUAUACCGAGGGAAUAAUUAACUUAAGAGAAGCUUAAAUGAUAAGAUCUACAUCGUGUCCAUGGGCAUGAACGCAAAGUUCAAGGUCGACUCCCACUUCUUCAAUGCAUAACCUUUCAUUCACUUCUCGUGUUUGAUGAAGUUGCAGUAUUGAAAAUUUUUAUCUGGCAAAAUACCAGAAGAGUAUGACUCAUGAAAACUUUCGAGUUCACACAUAUUAUGAAAGGCAUAGGUUCAACCCAUCGGGGCAUCGUGGAAACAUAUACCACAAGCUUCAGGGGUAAAUAACUCAAGCUCGAUAGUAGAGCAUGGGUGACAAAACAAGAGGAUACAAUUUACUAAAGGCAUUAUGUAUCAGGGAAAGAACUUCCAAAGUGAUUGAAUAUGAAGGACGUUGUCGGAUAAAAUCCAACAAGAUUCUGAUGGUCCAUAAAGGAUCUGAUGUGAGUACCAGCACACAACCAGAGGAAGAAUCAAUGCAAAGACCUUGGAUUAUAGAAACAACUAAGUAACUUAGAGCUCAAUCGCAAAGGAAUUAUGAUUUACAAAGCGAAGGAUCAGAAACAGACGCUCUGAUCAAGGAUGGAUAAGUUCAAUAGACAUAGGGGCACAAUCGACGACAAUUUGAUUGGCGAGAACCAGCUCAUGUUCAAAAUGACGUCUGAGCCAGAAAGAUAAUUUAAAAGGAUCAAUUGAUGAUUGCGUGCAUUCGCACUCAUGUUGAAUCAAUAGGAUCAAAAUGACGGUGCCUAAGGAUACUAACGAAUAUUGCCAGACAUAUGGAAAGCAUCCAUAAUGCAAGCAGACAAGUAUGGCAGAGCAAUAAGCUACUAAGGAUUUUUUUUGGAGGAUUGAAUAGUAUUUCGAAGACCAUUGUGAAACACAUGAACAACUAGGGGAUGAGCAGAUACUCGAUAAGGGCGAGAAAUUAUCCGUAGGGGUAUUCAUGUGGCAAAGAACUGCAAGGCAGUAGGCACAAAAUAUUCUCGGAACAAUAGAGAGGAUUUUAGGGUAUCUUGUAAUGACAAAAUCAACUAGGAAUAAAAGUAAGAACAGCAAGUGUAUGUAUUUAUCCAUAGGGAUAUUUCGGUGGUAGGGAAUUGCAAAAGCAACGGGCACAAAGUCUCAAAAGAGUAUCGGGGAGUAACUUCAAAAUCUUCUGGUGCAGUAGGCGAUCAUCUGUGAUAAGGGGCUCUCCGGGAUAACUAGUUACGAGAACCUAGAGUCAGAUUUAGUAAAAUCAUUUAACCCGAAUAGAAGAGAGAUCAGAGUCCCGGAGUAAAGAUCGAGGAGUAAAAGAUCCUAAUACCACCCAAAUGGCGACGUGGGCCCAUAAGGCACACAUCCAUGUUAGUAAAAGUUUUGUAAUGUCUAGACUCAACUUCGGCCAAGGAGUUGGAAGGGGGAUUCCUACAGGCAGUUGGCUCUGAUACCAACUUAUGAUGCCCCUGAUUUGACCGUACACUAAUCAUGCACGCAAAUGUGUACGAUCAAGAUCAGGAACUCACGGGAAGAUAUCACAACACAACUCUACCACAUAAAUAAGUCAUACAAGCAUCAUAAUACAAGCCAGGGGCCUCAAGGGCUCGAAUACAAGUGCUCGAUCAUAGACGAGUCAGCGGAAGCAACAAUAUCUGAGUACAGACAUAAGUUAAUCAAGUUUGCCAUAAGAAGGCUAGCACAAACUGCGAUACAGAUCGAAAGAGGCGUAGGCCUCCUGCCUGGGAUCCUCCUAACUACUCCUGGUCGUCGUCAGCGGCCUGCACGUAGUAGUAGGCACCUCCGGUGUAGUAGGAGUCAUCGUUGACGGUGGCGUCUGGCUCCUGGGCUCCAGCAUCUGGUUGCGACAACCAGGUAAAGGGAAAGGGGGAAAAGAGGGAGAAAAGCAACCGUGAGUACUCAUCCAAAGUACUCGCAAGCAAGGAGCUACACUACAUAUGCAUGGGUAUAUGUGUAAAGGGCCAUAUUGGUGGACUGAACUGCAGAAUGCCAGAAUAAGAGGGGGAUAGCUAAUCCUGCCGAAGACUACGCUUCAGGCCACCUCCAUCUUGCAGCAUGUAGAAGAGAGUAGAUGGUAAGUUCACCAAGUAGCAUCGCAUAGCAUAAUCCUACCCGGCGAUCCCCUCCUCGUCGCCCUCUUAGAGAGCGAUCAUCGGGUUAUAUCUGGCACUUGGAAGGGUUUGUUUUAUUAAGUAUCUAGUUCUAGUUGUCAUAAGGUCAAGGUACAACACCGGAUCGUCCUUUUACCGAGGGACACGGCUAUUCGAAUAGAUAAACUUCCCUGCAGGGGUGCACCACAUAACCCAACACGCUCGAUCCCAUUUGGCCGGACACACUUUCCUGGGUCAUGCCCGGCCUCGGAAGAUCAACACGUCGCAGCCCUACCUAAGCACAACAGAGAGGUCAGCACGCCGGUCUAAAUCCUAUGGCGCAGGGGUUUGGGCCCAUCGCCCAUUGCACACCUGCACGUUGCGAGGGCGGCUGAAAGCAGACCUAGCCUAGUAGGCGUUCCAGUCCAAUCCGGCGCGUGCCGCUCAGUCGCUGACGUCACGAAGGCUUCGGCUGAUACCACGACGUCGAGUGCCCAUAACUAUUCCCGCGUAGUUGGUUAGUGCGUAUAGACCAAAUGGCCAGACUCAGAUCAAAUACCAAGAACUCGUUAAGCGUGUUAUUUUGAAGUAACCGCGGACGCCGUCCAGGGCCAGGCCCACCUCUCGCCUAGGCGGUCUCAACCUGCCCUGUCGCUCAGCCACAAAGAUCCACCCAGAGGGCCGUCGGGACAAAGGUCCUUUCAGCCCCCAAUCCGUGAAUCACUCGCGGGUACUCCUCGAGCCGACCCGACUUUUGUCACCACAUGUAUCAUGUAUAAAGUAUAUAGUAUAUACCCGUGAUCACCUCCCGAAGUGAUCACGGCCCAGUAGUAUAGCAUGGCAGACGGACAAGAGUGUAGGGCCACUAAUGGAACACUAGCAUCUUAUACUAAGCAGUAGGAUAGCAGGUAAGGGUAACAACUAUAGUAACAAUGACAGGCUAUGCAGCAGAAUAGGAUUAACCGAAAGCAGUAAUAUGCUACACUACUCUAAUGCAAGCAGUAUAGAGAAGAAUAGGCGAUAUCUGGUGAUCAAGGGGGGGCUUGCCUGGUUGCUCUGGCAAGGAGGGGUCAUCGUCGACGUAGUCGAUCACAGGGGCGGCAUCGGUCUCGGGGUCUACCGGAGAGAAGAGGGGGAAGAAACAAUAAAUAUAAAAGCAAGCAUAGCAUCACAAAGCAUAACAUGGAAAUAUGCUGUGCUGGGGGUGACCUAACGUAUGGCUACACGAUAAAGGUGAAGGGGGAAUUCAACCGUGAAUGAUUUCCCGGUUCCGGACCUGUGUCAGACAGAUGACCGGAGGGGGGAAUGCUCCAUGCUCAGGUAGUUAGAGGCAUCUGACAGGAAAACGGACCGCGUAUUCGGAUUCGUUGGAUUUUUCUGAGCAAUUUUCAUGUUUAAGUUUUUCCAUCCGAGCUACGCUUUAUUUUCUAUGAUUUUCUAAAGUUUUAAUAGUUUUCUGAAAUUAUUUAAAUUAAUAGAAUUAACAGAAAAGGGACAUGACUUCAGCAUGACGUGUGGGUGACGUCAGCAGUCAACACAGGUCGGCUGACCAGGUCAAACCUGACCCGUGGGUCCAGCGGAACCCACAUGUCAGCCUCUGUUAGCUUAACAGUGGAUUAAACUAAUCUAACUAAGCAAAUUAGGGGUGUGGGCCCCAUAUGUCAGUGAGUGUUUAGGCUAGUAUAAUUACUUGUUUUUAUAAAAACGUUUAUUAAACUAAUUAUCAGAGUGGGGGCCCACAUGUCUGUGACAGAAGCCGGCCCAGUCAGCGUUGACCUCGGUCAACUGGUCAAAGUGGGGCACCUCGGCCCACUAGUCAGUGGCUGGGGCCUGCCCAGUCAGCAGUUGACUAAAGUCAACAGGGCAGCCGAGCCCCGAGGGCCCACGGGUCAGCGACCCAGGGGCGGGGCCCACUGAGCCACGUUGGCGUCGGCGCCGGAGAGAGCUCUGGCGACCAAAUCGCGCGGCGGGGGUGGUCGGAAAUCGCCGUCCGGCGGCCAAAACAACGGCGAUUGGUCGCGUUCGAACGGGAGCAAUGUUCCGCGUCGAUCUACGGCACGAGCGCGAGCUGAAAAGGCCGAUGCCGUGCGCUAGAUCGUCGCCGGCGGAGAACGGAGUCGGUUGUCAGUGGAACCGGAGCUGCACAGCACGGGGAGGCGCACUAGUGGUGGCUCUGGUUCACACGAGCUCUAGGAGCUCGAUGCGAGGUUCAGCCGCACGUGACAGUGGCGAUGGCCACGGAGGCGAGCUCAUCGGCGGCGAUGCGUGCUAGUACCAGUGGAGCGGCGGCUACGGGCGAACGGGGUGCCGCAGGGAGGGGGGAAGGAAACAGAGGCUCACCGGGAGCCUGCAGGUGUGCAAUCGUGGGCUCGGGGGAGGCUCGGUGGAGCGAAUCGACGACGGCCGGUUCGGGGCAGAGGAGGAAGAAGAGGUCGCGGUGGUGCUGCUGGGCCGUCCCGGUCCGCGUGGCUCGGCGGGGAGGAUGAGGAGGUCGAGGCAGAGCCUUGGGGCACGUCGGCGAGGCGAACAUCGGCCGGUGGCUGCGGUGGAGUGCGGUGAGCGGUGACGGAGAGGCGCGGCCCAGGCGGAUCUGCAGGGAAGAGAGCGCAGGCGAGAGAGAGAGAGAGGGAACGAGGAGGGCAGGUGAGUGGGGGAGUGGGAGAGGGGAUCGAGGGGGCGCGGGCUGCCUUAUCCCCUUGUCGGAGCCGGUGAGGGGGUCCGGUGGAGACGCGCGCGUGCGGUCGCUCGCAAAGUGGGGAGGGGGAAGACGACAGGGGGGGAGUGGGCCGGCCGAGCUGCGCCAGUUGGCUCGGGUGGGCCGGAGCCCAAGGGGAGGCCAGGGGGCUCUCCCACCCCUUCUUCUUUCCUUUUCUUUUUCUAUUUGUUUUUUUUCUUUUUCUAGCAGCAUUUUGCCUUUUCUUUUAGCCACAAAUGACCUUGCAAAAUUAUGCCACUGGCUAAAACAAUUCCAAAGAAUUAUUGUGCACAGCCACAAAAUGUUUGGGGCCUUCAGGAGUUGUCCAAGCAUUUUUAGAAAAUGAAAAGGACAUCUUAAAUACUGCUGGACUAGAUAAUAAAUUCCCAGG
rnacentral:lncRNA from 1 species